AAAUUGAAGAGUUUGAUCAUGGCUCAGAUUGAACGCUGGCGGCAGGCCUAACACAUGCAAGUCGAGCGGUAGCACAGAGAGCUUGCUCUCGGGUGACGAGCGGCGGACGGGUGAGUAAUGUCUGGGAAACUGCCUGAUGGAGGGGGAUAACUACUGGAAACGGUAGCUAAUACCGCAUAACGUCGCAAGACCAAAGUGGGGGACCUUCGGGCCUCAUGCCAUCAGAUGUGCCCAGAUGGGAUUAGCUAGUAGGUGGGGUAACGGCUCACCUAGGCGACGAUCCCUAGCUGGUCUGAGAGGAUGACCAGCCACACUGGAACUGAGACACGGUCCAGACUCCUACGGGAGGCAGCAGUGGGGAAUAUUGCACAAUGGGCGCAAGCCUGAUGCAGCCAUGCCGCGUGUGUGAAGAAGGCCUUCGGGUUGUAAAGCACUUUCAGCGGGGAGGAAGGCGAUAAGGUUAAUAACCUUGUCGAUUGACGUUACCCGCAGAAGAAGCACCGGCUAACUCCGUGCCAGCAGCCGCGGUAAUACGGAGGGUGCAAGCGUUAAUCGGAAUUACUGGGCGUAAAGCGCACGCAGGCGGUCUGUCAAGUCGGAUGUGAAAUCCCCGGGCUCAACCUGGGAACUGCAUUCGAAACUGGCAGGCUAGAGUCUUGUAGAGGGGGGUAGAAUUCCAGGUGUAGCGGUGAAAUGCGUAGAGAUCUGGAGGAAUACCGGUGGCGAAGGCGGCCCCCUGGACAAAGACUGACGCUCAGGUGCGAAAGCGUGGGGAGCAAACAGGAUUAGAUACCCUGGUAGUCCACGCCGUAAACGAUGUCGAUUUGGAGGUUGUGCCCUUGAGGCGUGGCUUCCGGAGCUAACGCGUUAAA
rnacentral:rRNA from 1 species